rnacentral:tRNA from 2 species
GGGGGUGUAGCUCAGCUGGUUAGAGCGUCUGCCUGUCACGCAGAAGGUCGCGGGUUCGAGCCCCGUCACUCCCG